rnacentral:rRNA from 1 species
UGUUGUUAAGGAACUCGGCAAAAUGACCCCGUAACUUAGGGAUAAGGGGUGCCACCAUCAGGUGGCCGCAGAGAAUAGGCCCAAGCGACUGUUUACCAAAAACAUAGGUUUCUGCUAAGUCGCAAGAUGAUGUAUAGGAGCUGACGCCUGCCCGGUGCUGGAAGGUUAAGGGGAUCUGUUAGAGCAAUCGAAGCAGUGAACUUAAGCCCCAGUAAACGGCGGCCGUAACUAUAACGGUCCUAAGGUAGCGAAAUUCCUUGUCGGGUAAGUUCCGACCCGCACGAAAGGCGUAACGAUUUGGGCACUGUC